GGGGGCGAAAUGGCUUCGACGGAGAUUUUGAGGUCUAAGGUAGCAUACCGAGUCUUUUGUCAGCUCGUAAACUUGGCAGAAUCUUAAAAUAAUCGCAGACGAUUAUAAUUACGCUGUAGCGGCAUAAAGGCCGCUUCCGCCCUCCUGAAAUCCUUCUUGCAGAUUCAGGUCAGGGCGUCAUUUAUGCAAGACCGCUUUUAAGGAUGCCUGAUCCUUAACGGUUAAAUUUUUCAGGCUACGCCGGUACGCAUCCAUCCUGAAGGAGGCUGACCGGCCAAUUUUAAACUUCGGGAUAAGUAUGUAGAAGCCUAGAUUGAUUGUUUUCGGACGCGGGUUCAACUCCCGCCGCCUCCACCA
rnacentral:tmRNA from 1 species